GUGAGACUCAUGACAAUUUUUUCUUAGAAGUUGAGAGAAACAUAAACUGCAAGCAAUAAAUGCAUGCUGUCUUCAUUGUCAUCAAUGGCUUCCGCCAUUAACGUUGUCGUUUACUGCACCAAACUACCUUUACCUACCACAAGAUAAAAACUCAGAAAAACAAAUACCAAAAUCAAGAAAUCUACCCCAGAAUUCUGAAAUUUAUAUACAGUUUAGUCCCUCGAAAUCCUAAAGCAGGGUGGUGGUGGCUGAAGUUGUGCUCCUUGUCAAUCAAAACUCGAACAGAUCGAAAUUCCUCGAUAUGACAAGGAAAAGUAAUUGUGCCCUUUCGAUUAAAUCCAUAUUCUUCUUCUGCUUCUUUGAGCAACUGCAUGAACAGCGGGUGAUUGAAGUAANGAGACUUGUUAUGCCU
rnacentral:lncRNA from 1 species